AUUUAGCCCACAUGUGCAGUAAUUAAUACGUCAUUCAUGUUACAGUAUGCUUUCUAUAUUACCCUGGGUGGAACGUUUGACUUCUCAGAGUCAGACAUGCCAAGUAUUAGAAGAUGGUGGUCUGCCCUUUUGCUGGAGCUGUUCCCACCAAGAUCAUUCACAAAAAGCCAGCAAAGAAAAAAGAGGCGAAUCGGGGCUGACAAGAGACAAGACACUGGUAUUGUUUACUUUGUUUGAGGGGCUCCAUUAUUGAUUACAAAUGUUUUUUAUUUGUUUGUUUUCCCCAAAUUAUUGCUGUUCUAUUGUCUCUUCCUUGUAGUUGCAACCAGUGACACAC